UGGGGAAUUUUCCGCAAUGGGCGAAAGCCUGACGGAGCAAGACCGCGUGAGGGAGGAAGGCUCUUGGGUUGUAAACCUCUUUUCUCUGGGAAGAAGUCCUGACGGUACCAGAGGAAUCAGCAUCGGCUAACUCCGUGCCAGCAGCCGCGGUAAUACGGAGGAUGCAAGCGUUAUCCGGAAUCAUUGGGCGUAAAGCGUCCGCAGGUGGACUGGUAAGUCUGCCGUCAAAGCACGGGGCUUAACCCCGUAAAGGCGGUGGAAACUGCCAGACUAGAGGCUGGUAGGGGUAGAGGGAAUUCCCAGUGUAGCGGUGAAAUGCGUAGAGAUUGGGAAGAACACCAGUGGCGAAAGCGCUCUACUGGACCAGAACUGACACUCAGGGACGAAAGCUAGGGGAGCGAAAG
rnacentral:rRNA from 1 species